UUGCUAUCUGCGAUAUGGAAGAUUCGAACCUGCCGCAGGUUCGGGUCUCAUGCAGUGAGACAACGGAGCCGUUUACGGCGACGGCCCGAAGGGAGAGCGAAGCGAGUCAUCCUGCACGACCCACCA
rnacentral:sRNA from 2 species